AUACGGAAGGGGCAAGCGUUGUUCGGAAUUACUGGGCUUAAAGGGUGCGUAGGCGGACCAGCAAGUGUCUUGUGAAAGCCCACGGCUUAACCGUGGAAUUGCUCGGCAGACUGCUGGUCUAGAGGUCGGUAGGGGCUGCCGGAACAGUAGGUGGAGCGGUGAAAUGCGUAGAUAUCUACUGGAACACCUAAGGCGAAGGCAGGCAGCUGGGCCGAUUCUGACGCUGAGGCACGAAAGCGUGGGUAGCGAACGGGAUUAGAAACCCCAGUAGUCC
rnacentral:rRNA from 1 species